CAAUGAAGGUACUCAUUUCCGUGCAGUUCCUCUUCAAUCUAAAAAGUUGACUCUUGGGUAUGUUGCUAAGCCACGGACUAUAGUGACAGCUACUGGUGUUAAUUUAGCUGUUCACAUCUACGGCCUUAAAGAAAGUUUUAAGGAACCUCUUGUAUUGAUACCUAUAGUACAGCUUGAAGUGGUAUAAUCCCCACUCUAGAAUCUGUUGGCAGUACAGGUCCUCCUCAUAUAUAUGGGGG